rnacentral:rRNA from 1 species
GUCUAUUUGAAGAUAUAAAUAGUCUGACCUGCUCACUGACAGAUAAUAUUGUUUAAGAGCCGCGGUAUAUUGACCGUGCAAAGGUAGCAUAAUAAUUAGUUUUUUAAUUGGGAACUUGUAUGAAUGGUUGGACAAAGGAAUAACUGUCUCUAUAAUAAAUAUUGAAAUUAACUUUUAAGUGAAAAGGCUUAAAUAUCCCAGGGGGACGAGAAGACCCUAUAAAGUUUUAUAUGUUAAUUAAAUUUGAUUAAAUUAUUAAAUAAAAAUCUUGUUUAGCUAUCAUAUUUUAUUGGGGCGAUAUAAGUAUAAUUUAUAUUAACUGCUUAGAUAAUAUACAUUAAAUAAAUGUGUUAAAAUUAGAUGAUCCUUUUUAGAGAUUAAAAGACUAAAUUACUUUAGGGAUAACAGCGUUAUUUUUUUUAAGAGUCCAUAUCGAAAAAAAAGUUUGCGACCUCGAUGUUGAAUUAAAAUAUCUGUAUAAUGCAGCCGUUAUAUAAGAAGGUCUGUUCGACCUUUAAAUUUUU